rnacentral:rRNA from 1 species
GAUGAACGCUGGCGGCGUGCCUAAUACAUGCAAGUCGAGCGAACAGACGAGGAGCUUGCUCCUCUGACGUUAGCGGCGGACGGGUGAGUAACACGUGGACAACCUACCUAUAAGACUGGGAUAACUUCGGGAAACCGGAGCUAAUACCGGAUAAUAUAUUGAACCGCAUGGUUCAAUAGUGAAAGACGGUUUUGCUGUCACUUAUAGAUGGAUCCGCGCCGCAUUAGCUAGUUGGUAAGGUAACGGCUUACCAAGGCAACGAUGCGUAGCCGACCUGAGAGGGUGAUCGGCCACACUGGAACUGAGACACGGUCCAGACUCCUACGGGAGGCAGCAGUAGGGAAUCUUCCGCAGUGGGCGAAAGCCUGACGGAGCAACGCCGCGUGAGUGAUGAAGGUCUUCGGAUCGUAAAACUCUGUUAUUAGGGAAGAACAAAUGUGUAAGUAACUAUGCACGUCUUGACGGUACCUAAUCAGAAAGCCACGGCUAACUACGUG